UACAGAGGGUGCAAGCGUUAAUCGGAAUUACUGGGCGUAAAGCGUGCGUAGACGGUUACAUAAGUCGGGUGUGAAAGCCCCGGGCUCAACCUGGGAGGUGCGCUUGAUACUCGAGGGCUUGAGUGCGGGAGAGGAGAGUGGAAUUCCCAGUGUAGAGGUGAAAUUCGUAGAUAUUGGGAAGAACACCGGUGGCGAAGGCGGCUCUCUGGACCGUAACUGACGCUGAGGCGCGAAAGCGUGGGGAGCAAACAGG
rnacentral:rRNA from 1 species